GUGAGCAACCUGCCCUGGACUCUGGGAUAAGCGCUGGAAACGGCGUCUAAUACUGGAUAUGAGACGUGAUCGCAUGGUCGUGUUUGGAAAGAUUUUUCGGUCUGGGAUGGGCUCGCGGCCUAUCAGCUUGUUGGUGAGGUAAUGGCUCACCAAGGCGUCGACGGGUAGCCGGCCUGAGAGGGUGACCGGCCACACUGGGACUGAGACACGGCCCAGACUCCUACGGGAGGCAGCAGUGGGGAAUAUUGCACAAUGGGCGAAAGCCUGAUGCAGCAACGCCGCGUGAGGGAUGACGGCCUUCGGGUUGUAAACCUCUUUUAGCAGGGAAGAAGCGUAAGUGACGGUACCUGCAGAAAAAGCGCCGGCUAACUACGUGCCAGCAGCCGCGGUAAUACGUAGGGCGCAAGCGUUAUCC
rnacentral:rRNA from 1 species